AUAAUACUCCCUUCGUUCGGAAUUACUUGUCGCGGAAAUGGAUGUAUCUAGACGUAUUUUAGUUCUACAUACAUCCUGAGACAAGUAAUUCCGAACGGAGGGAGUACUAG
rfam:Triticum aestivum genome assembly, contig: Triticum_aestivum_CS42_TGACv1_scaffold_158094_2DL